AUGGACGCGCUCUCCCUCAUCGACGUCUCCGGCGAGGAGGACGACUUCCUCCUCGACCUCGCCUCGCCGCCGCAGCACCCCGACCCGCCAGCCCGCGCCGCCCCAGGUGCUGCGGUGGUGGGCGCCGAUUCGAAGCGGCCCGCCGUCGGAUCUCCUCCUCCUCCUCCGGCGGUGGCGGGCGGGCAGGCCGUGGAUCCCGCGGAGCAGGCCCCGGAGCGGGCGCAGUCCCCGAAGAAGACCAAGGGCGUCAACCUCCGCAAGAGCCUCGCCUGGGACAAAGCCUUCUUCACCAGCGAAGGUGUUCUCGAUACUGAGGAAUUGGGCAUUGUAAACAGCACUUUCCGCAAGUCGCAGGGUCCUAGGCUGCUGCCAGGAAUAGCAGAGGAAAUGAGGAGGUCAAUGGAGUCCACCACCUCCUCGUUGGAAAGUGAAAGCUUUGUGCUGGAAAGCCUUGAGACUGAGCUGUUUGACAAUGUCCGUGCUUCGAUUCAGAGAACGCUUGGGAAACCUGAUAAAGCUCCUAUUGUGGCUUCUGGAAGCUCAAAAACCCCUAGGUCCGCAGCAAAGGCGCCUCCUGUCACAGUGAGAAAGGGGGUUGAUCGGAUACCUCAGACUCAGAGCAAGAUAAGGCCCCCUGCUUCAAUAAGCAAUGGUUCCGUUGGUGGUACCAAACAAAGGCCCCAAGUCACCCUGAAAGAGCCUGCAGCUGCAAGAGUGGCUGCAUCAAAAGCUGCAGAAGCAAAACCAUCCUCAAAGCCUCCCAGAGCUCUGCCAAGAGUUGCUACAAUGAGAGCACCGACUAACACAGCUGUCACCUCUGGGAUUGCAGACAAAAGAAGCAGCACUGGAGGUGUAGUCAACAGGCAGGCAGUUGCCAAGUCUGCUAACAGUUCAGCCAGUGUGCCAUCUCGGCCUGGUGGGGGCCCAAAGAACAACUCAACCUCAAAAUCUGGUGCUUUGUCGUUAGCAGCAAGUCCUUCCUUGCGUAGUGCUCCCAUGGCAGGUGGGAAAACAAAGUCACCGACCCUAAUCAGCAAGAACAGGACCGCUCAGAGGAUCCCUAUUCGUUCAUCAUCAAGAUCUGAUAUCAGCAAGGUUGACCCAGCAAGGGCAUCAAGAAAUAAGAGUCAUGGUGAGAGUGCAUCACCGACCAUUUCACCAAGCAGUUCUGUGGACAGCAUGAGUUCUGUGAUUUCUGGGGUUUCAACAGCAUCCACUGUAGGGAGAGCGAGUCAUACAUCUGAGACCUUUAGUACAAGGUCGUCUUCAUUGUCCCCUUCCACCAGAAAGAGCAAUGACCACCCUCCAACCACACUACGGAGGCCUGUUAUUGUUAGAGAAGGACAGGCUUCAGGAGCAUUUGCUGAUAAUGUGAAAUCUAAUGUCGACACAUCAACCCAAGGAAAUGGUUUUAAACCAUCUGGUCUACGAAGGCCUACACCCAAGAUUGGAUAUUUUGAUGCCGAGAAAUCUGUUGAACAAAAAGCCGGUGCACGGGCACAACUGCAACCCACGAAGGUUCUGUUUUCACCGUUGGCCACACAGAACUCUUGGAUUCCUUCUACUCCGAAGACAAUCCCUGCAACUCUUACCUUUGAGCAAGAAGAACCAAAAUCUAGGGCAGCAGCACCUUCUCAAACUAAGGCGUCACCUUCACUACCUCUCAGAGUUGCACAAACUGAGGUAAAACCAUCAAAGGUGACAGAGCAUGAAGUUUCUCAAAAGGAGGCAUUGCCUUUACUGUCUCCAAGAGUUGCACAAACUGAAACGGAACCAUCAGAAGUGGCGGAGGAUGACAUUUCUCCAACUAAGGCAUCACCUUCACUGCCUUCUCUUACAGUCGUGCAAACCGAAGUAGAAUCUUCAAAGGUAUCCGAGAAUGAAGCAGCCAUGCAUGAGUCUGGUCCACUGGUCACCUUCACUGCUUCAUUCUCGGAAACUACAGUAGCACCUUGCGAGGACAGCAGUCCUUCACUGCUUCUUGGAGUUGCAAAAAUGGAAGUAGAACCAUUGGGAGUGAUUGACCAUGAAGCGGAAACAUCAAAGGUGUCGGAGCAUGAAGCACACGUGCUGGAGACUGGCCCAUUGGUUGCCAUGGACAUUGCAGAGGACGAGGGGAUUCCAGCUUUAAAUCAGAAUGUCCAGGCCAAUGGCGAUAUCAGUUCAUCAACUGUUGAGCUGUCAUCAUGUACCUCUGGUCAGCAAGAAUCAGAAACUACAGCAGCACCUUGCGAGGACAGCAGUCCUUCACAAAACAAGGUAUCACCUUCACUGCCUUCUCUUACAGUCGUGCAAACCGAAGUAGAAUCUUCAAAGGUGGCGGAGCAUGAAGCACACGUGCUGGAGACUGGCCCAUUGGUUGCCAUGGACAUUGCAGAGGACGAGGGGAUUCCAGCUUUAAAUCAGAAUGUCCAGGCCAAUGGCGAUAUCAGUUCAUCAACUGUUGAGCUGUCAUCAGGUGCCUCUGGUCAGCCACAAUCAGAAACUACAGCAGCACCUUGUGAGGAAAGCGUUUCUUCUCAAACUAAGUUAUCAUCACCUUCACUGCCUCUUGAAGUUGCAAAAAUGGAAGUAGAACCAUUGGAGGUGAUUGAGCAUGAAGCUUGCAUGCCCCAGGCAGCCAUGGAUAUUGCAAAGGAGAACAUUCCAGCCAUGGAUACCGCAAAAGAGAACAUCCAGCCUGGUGGUUAUUCGAGUCCACUAAAGGAGAACAUUCUGGCUUCGCAUCAAAAUAUCCAGCCUGAAGAGCAUAUGACUCCUGUAAAGGGAAGCAUCCUGGCCUCACACACAAAUGCGCAGGCUAUUGGGGAGAUGACUCCAAUUACUCUCCUGAGCCAGAAGCUGUCCUCCAUUUCUCUAGGACAAGCUAAUGGGGAGGCGACUCCAUUGACUCAGAAGGCGUCCUCCAUUUCUCAAGGACAAUCUAAUGGGGACGUGACUCCAUUGACCCAGAAGGCGCCCUCCAUUUCUCAAGGACAAUCUAAUGGGGAGGCGACUCCAUUGACCCUGUUGGCGCAGAAGCUGUCCUCCAUUUCUCUUGGCGAUGCCACCGACUAG
rnacentral:rRNA from 1 species